rnacentral:rRNA from 1 species
GACCUGCGGAAGGAUCAUUAUUGAAAUAAACCUGAUGGGUUGCUGCUGGCUCUCUAGGGAGCAUGUGCACGCUUGUUCAUCUUUAUGUCUUCACCUGUGCACCUUGUGUAGACCUGGAUAUCUUUCUGAAUGCGCUUGCAUCCAGGUUUGGAGGAUUGACUUGUAUUGUUCUCUCCUUACCAUUUCCAGGUCUAUGUUUCUUCAUAUACCUCAAUGUAUGUUAUAGAAUGUAAUAAAUGGGCUUUCAUGCCUAUAAACCUAUACAACUUUCAGCAACGGAUUCUCUUGGCUCUCGCAUCGAUGAAGAACGCAGCGAAAUGCGAUAAGUAAUGUGAAUUGCAGAAUUCAGUGAAUUCAUCGAAUCUUUGAACGCACCUUGCGCUCCUUGGUAUUCCGAGGAGCMUGCCUGUUUGAGUGUCAUUAAUAUAUCCAAUCUCUUCAGCUUUUUGGUUGUUGAGAAUUGGRUGUGGGGGGGCCUUUCUUUGCUGGCCUCUGAAGAGAGGUCAGCUCCCCUGAAAUGUAUUAGCGGAACAAUUUGUUAACCGUUCAUUGGUGUGAUAACUAAUCUACGCUGUUGAUGGGAAGCAAGUUCUGCUUCUAACCGUCCAUUGACUUGGACAAAUUUUUUAUUAAUGGGAACCUCAAAUCGG